rnacentral:sRNA from 1 species
UAAUGAGGGACUCAGCCUUAGAACGCCACUGCCUGUGGUAAGGACUGAGUGACCAACAUCAUGUUGU